GCGCCGCUCACCCCCACCCUCGCAGACAUGGCGGAGCGCAGCGCGGCCCGGGAAGCGGGGAGGGCUGCGCCGCGUUGAGGCCUAGAGCGGAGUGAUUCUGAGCUCGUGUACUCCACUUCUUCCAGACCAGUGACCAAGAGGUGACCGCCUUGGGCAAUGAACUGUCAUUCACUGGAUUGUCAUUUACAUCUGGCAGUAGUCUCUUCUCACAGGUGACAGGUGACAGGACGAGGGGAAAUGGCCUCAAGUUGCAGCAGGGUAAGUUUAGGUUGGAUAUCAGGAAACACUUCUUUACAGACAAAGUUGUUAAGCACUGGGAUAGGCUCCCCAGGGAGGUGGUUCAGUCACCAUCCCCCGUUUGGAUGUGGUGCACA
rnacentral:lncRNA from 1 species